rnacentral:rRNA from 1 species
CCCUUAGAUGUUCUGGGCCGCACGCGCGCUACACUGUUCGACGCAGCGAGUCUUAACCUUGACCGAAAGGUUUGGGUAAUCUUCAGCAAAGUCGAACGUGAUGGGGAUCGAUCAUUGCAAUUAUUGAUCGUGAACGAGGAAUUCCUAGUAAGUGCAAGUCAUCAGCUUGCGCUGAUUACGUCCCUGCCCUUUGUACACACCGCCCGUCGCUACUAUCGAUUGAAUGGUUUAGUGAGAUCUCUGGAUUGACGCUGGCUAGGGGGCGACCCUUGGCCAGACUGUUGAGAAACUGCUCAAACUUGAUCAUUUAGAGGAAGUAAAAGUCGUAACA